rnacentral:rRNA from 1 species
UAGUAGGGAAUCUUCCGCAAUGGACGAAAGUCUGACGGAGCAACGCCGCGUGAGUGAAGAAGGUUUUCGGAUCGUAAAACUCUGUUGUCAGAGAAGAACAAGUUGGAGAGUAACUGCUCCAGCCUUGACGGUAUCUGACCAGAAAGCCACGGCUAACUACGUGCCAGCAGCCGCGGUAAU